UUUCCCCUAUGGCGCGCCGCGUGGGCGGGCAACCGCUCACAUGAAAGAAGAUCGCGCCGGAAAGGGAAUGCGGUGCGGGCGAGCCUUCGCCCAAUUCCGCGGCUGUCCCUGCAACUGUAAGCGGCGAGCGCGAUGCACUUGGUAACUCACGCUUUCGAAAGGGGAGGGCGCGGGGAACCGGCCACUGGACGCGAGUCCGGGAAGGCCCGUGCAUCGCUGCCCUGACCCGCGAGCCAGGAGACCUGCCGGCGCAUGGUCGCUCUU
rfam:Sphingobium quisquiliarum P25 contig045, whole genome shotgun sequence.